AUUUUCUUGAGUCUCAUUGGGAGAUGGGACAAUCAUGCUCUAAAUCGGGAGUCUCACGACAAAAUUGGGAGACUUGGCAGGUUCUUUAGAUUUUGAGGUAACCAUCCAGACCACUGGACAAUGAGAGAGGAGGGACCACAACAG